AUAUGGAGUGCUAGUAACAGAUUUUGAUGGUAUCUAAUUCAUAACGCAGGCAGCAAUUUCUAGGGCAUAUCCCUAGAAUGAGAUUUGUCAAGCAAAUUAAAGAACAUACAAUAUCUCAUAUGAAGUGUCCAUCUCUGGGUCGAGAUAUUAUUAGCCUUUGAACAUCCAUUUGUUCAAGACCUAAUACCUUGCUCAUCUUUUUUCAUGUCAAGUAAAUGGGAUCUUGAUCAUUUUAUCUAUGAGACAAGAUUUA
rnacentral:lncRNA from 1 species